AAUGGUGAGCAUGAUCUGGCUGUGACAUCUGUUACCCCAUUGAUCACCAGAGUGGAUUCAGCUGAUCUGGCUGGAUAGCCGUGUGACCCCUUCCAACCUCACCACCCUUUGUGCAUCUCUCUUGAAGCUGUGUGCUAGCUUGGUCAAAGAGGACAAGCACCCCGGAUAGAGGAGGGCCGUUUCCUUGGUGAAGGGUAUACGAAAAGCUGCGCUCCCUUGCUAGAACCUCCAAACAAGCUCCCAAGCUAUAUGCCAAAGAGCACACCAUUCUUAGUUUAUGAAAAAUUAUUUUGAGUGCUCUAA
rnacentral:snRNA from 1 species